UACGUAGGGUGCGAGCGUUGUCCGGAAUUAUUGGGCGUAAAGAGCUCGUAGGCGGUGUGUCACGUCGGCCGUGAAAACCUGCAGCUUAACUGUGGGCGUGCGGUCGAUACGGGCAUCACUGGAGUUCGGCAGGGGAGACUGGAAUUCCUGGUGUAGCGGUGAAAUGCGCAGAUAUCAGGAGGAACACCGGUGGCGAAGGCGGGUCUCUGGGCAGUAACUGACGCUGAGGAGCGAAAGCGUGGGGAGCAAACAGG
rnacentral:rRNA from 1 species